GUAGGUGAACCUGCGGAAGGAUCAUUGUCGAAACCUGCCCAACAGAGUGACCCGUGAACAUGUUCAACCUCAUGGGUGCUGGGGCGUUGCUCGGUGCCUUGUGUUCCGGCUCGCCCCUCUCCCAGGCAGGGGAGCGCCCACUUGUGGGCUGUUCCCCGGCUAACCAACGAACCCCGGCAACGGAUAUCUAGGCUCUC
rnacentral:misc_RNA from 1 species